GCCCUUAGAGUUUGAUCCUGGCUCAAAACGAACGCUGGCGGCGUGCUUAACACAUGCAAGUCCGACGUGAAAGGGGAGCAAUCCCCCGGUAGGGUGGCGAACGGGUGAGUAAGACAUGGGAAUCUGUCCUUGAGAUGGGGAUAUCCUUCCGAAAGGAGGGUUAAUACCGAAUACCGUCCGGUGGAUGAGAGUUCAUCGGGGAAAGGGAGGCCUCUGGCAACAUGCUUCCGCUCAAGGAGGAGCCCAUGGCCCAUCAGCUAGUUGGGAGGGUAACGGCCUACCAAGGCGAAGACGGGUAGCUGGUCUGAGAGGACGAUCAGCCACACUGGCACUGAGACACGGGCCAGACUCCUACGGGAGGCAGCAGUGAGGAAUUUUGCGCAAUGGGGGCAACCCUGACGCAGCAACGCCGCGUGUGGGAAGAAGGCUUUCGGGUUGUAAACCACUUUUGUAAGGGACGAAGUCCUUUCGGCAAAUAACCGAGGGGGAUGACGGUACCUUGCGAAUAAGCCACGGCUAACUCUGUGCCAGCAGCCGCGGUAAGACAGGGGUGGCAAGCGUUGUUCGGAGUAACUGGGCGUAAAGGGUCUGUAGGUGGUUUUUCAAGUCUUUGGUAAAACGCCGUGGCUCAACCAUGGUUUGGCCAAGGAGACUGGGAGACUCGAGGCUGGGAGAGGGAAGCGGAAUUUCUGGUGUAGCGGUGAAAUGCGUAGAGAUCAGAAAGAAGGCCGGUGGCGAAGGCUGCUUCCUGGAACAGACCUGACACUGAGAGACGAAAGCGUGGGGCAGCAGACAGGAUUAGAUACCCUGGUAGUCCACGCCCUAAACGAUGGGAACUAAGUGUGGGGAGCAAUCCCCGUGCCGCAGCUAACGCAAUAAGUUCCCCGCCUGGGGAGUACGGCCGCAAGGUUGAAACUCAAAUGAAUUGACGGGGAAGGGC
rnacentral:rRNA from 1 species